UACGUAGGGUGCAAGCGUUGUCCGGAAUUAUUGGGCGUAAAGAGCUCGUAGGCGGUUUGUCGCGUCUGCUGUGAAAACUCGGGGCUUAACCCCGGGCCUGCAGUGGGUACGGGCAGACUAGAGUGCGGUAGGGGAGACUGGAAUUCCUGGUGUAGCGGUGAAAUGCGCAGAUAUCAGGAGGAACACCGGUGGCGAAGGCGGGUCUCUGGGCCGUAACUGACGCUGAGGUGCGAAAGCGUGGGGAGCAAACAGG
rnacentral:rRNA from 1 species